CUCAAUAUGAUAUAGAAGUAAAAGUUAACCGUGGAAGAAUCUGGUGUGUCCUGUGUUUAUUUCCCGCGGGACGGGGAUAAGCUCGGGAUACUUGGUGCUAGAAACCCGGGAAAAAACGCCUUAACAACGCGGCACCUAGAGGAGACCCUCCGACCAACCGGAGCAGAUUUCAGAACCACGGUGGAUUUUGGAAUUCCGAGAGCAUGCUGAAUCCUUGUAAGUAACUCUGAUCCUUCUUAAUCCCUCCCCUUAACUGGAAGGUGGCACUAAAAGCCUUUUGUUCUCAUGCUGGCUGUGUUAACCCUAUUUCUCCCGGUUUGAUCCUGCACUCACCAGAAGUGGCGCUGAAAGAAAAAGUUUUGAAUGCUGUGAAGCACGAUCAGACGGACGUAUAUAAGCCGCAGUGCUCGUCUCAUAUUUAAGCCUCUCGUAGAUAAGGGAGCAGUAUGGGAAAUUCACAUUCUGUAACUACAGCUCUACACUCUGUUUUAAAACAGCGAGAGAUAAAAGUUUCUACAAGAACCUUAGAAACGUUCAUUAAGGAAAUAGAACGUAUAUCACCUUGGUACGCGUGUUCAGGGUCGUUAACUCUUUCCUCUUGGGAGAAAUUAAGGGAAGACUUAGCUAAGGAACAACAGAAUGGGAAAUUAAAGGCAGGGACCAUGCCAUUAUGGAAACUGGUGAGAUCGUGCCUGGAGGAUGAGAGAUGCCGUCCAGCAAUAAUAACAGGGCAGGCAAUAUUAGAAGAAGCACAGGACAGCAUGGCAGAAACGGAAUGGUGUGAAAGGUUAGGAGCUC
rnacentral:lncRNA from 1 species